UAGUUUUAACGGUUUCAAAUUUCAGGAAAGUACAGCAAGAAGAAGAGUGAAUACCUGAUUUAAGCGAACAGUGCAACUGAUGAAAAGUGACGAGGUACAAGUAGCCUACUUAAAAAAAUCAGUUUCAAACGAGAAAACUGGUUUUGUCCGGCUGGUUUGCUAACAACAUCAACUGGCAUCUACAGCAGGAACAAAACAGCCAAGACACAUUUCCCCCGGGAUUCAGUGACAAAUUUCAUGUGCGAAUGUUUUCCCCAGCAAAAAUGCAGAUAACCAGAGAUUGAAGGAGGCCUACGUGUGUUAUAGCAGACGUAGCAUAUCAUCUAUUUUAAUAUAAGGAGAACUUGCCCAGUGAACCUACUCUAUUGCGUCUGGGUAAAAGAAAAAUACGGCGCAUUGAGGCAAGUAAUACAUUGGAGACAGCAAUACGGCGAGCAGCAGAGUGGCGAUCCAGAUGAGACCCAGCAGAAACACGCCCGGACCUACGCCCAACACCGUGCCAGGCAUCCUCCCUCUUGAACAAAAUUUACACUUGGG